rnacentral:misc_RNA from 1 species
GGGUUUCAAGACUCCCAGAGAAGCUAUUGAAGGAACUUAUAUUGAUAAGAAAUGUCCCUUCACUGGAACUGUGUCUAUCAGGGGUCGUAUCUUAGCGGGAACUUGCCACAGUGCGAAGAUGAUGAGGACCAUUAUUGUUCGCCGAAAUUAUCUUCAUUUUAUCAAGAAAUACCAAAGGCAUUUUCUAACAUUAAUUUUGAGGAAGUUAUUUUCACUGCCUUUCAUCACUUAUAUGGAAGAAUAAUCUAAUCUUUUUUUCUUUGUGUGGAGAAGAUUUCAACUCCAGAAAUUCAAUUUCAUGGAAUUGGCUCCAUCAAAUUGAAUUCUAGAAAACAUUUUUUUGGAUUAAAACGUCCAUGUAUUUCUGCACUCCUUCGCUUCCUCUCUUUUCUCCCCUCUUUCUAUCUUAUCUUUCUCUCUCUCUGCCUCGCAUUCUAUCUUACCUUUCUCUUCCCCUCUCUUACUCCUACCAUUCUUUAUUAUUAUGCAUUUGUGACAUUAUUUAUGAUGUUAACUAAGCACAUGCGCUUACACACA